rnacentral:rRNA from 1 species
AGAUUGAACGCUGGCGGCAUGCCUAACACAUGCAAGUCGAACGGGAGUAGCAAUACUCUAGUGGCGGACGGGUGAGGAAUACGUAGGAAUUUGCCCUUAAGUGGGGGAUAACCCGGGGAAACCCGGAUUAAUACCGCAUGACCUCGAAAGAGCAAAGUGGGGGAUCGCAAGACCUCACGCUUUUGGAGAAGCCUACGUCGGAUUAGCUAGUUGGUGAGGUAAUGGCUCACCAAGGCGACGAUCCGUAACUGGUCUGAGAGGAUGAUCAGUCACACCGGAACUGAGACACGGUCCGGACUCCUACGGGAGGCAGCAGUGGGAAUAGUGGACAAUGGGCGCAAGCCUGAUCCAGCAAUGCCGCGUGUGUGAAGAAGGCCGUUCGGUUGUAAAGCUAACGUUUAAGGUUAGGGAAGAAAAAACUCGACUACUAACAAC